UUAAGCGACUAAGCGUACACGGUGGAUGCCCUGGCAGUCAGAGGCGAUGAAGGACGUGCUAAUCUGCGAAAAGCGUCGGUAAGGUGAUAUGAACCGUUAUAACCGGCGAUGUCCGAAUGGGGAAACCCAGUGUGAUUCGUCACACUAUCGUUAACUGAAUACAUAGGUUAACGAGGCGAACCGGGGGAACUGAAACAUCUAAGUACCCCGAGGAAAAGAAAUCAACCGAGAUUCCCCCAGUAGCGGCGAGCGAACGGGGAGCAGCCCAGAGUCUGAAUCAGCUUGUGUGUUAGUGGAACGGUCUGGAAAGUCCGACGGUACAGGGUGAUAGUCCCGUACACCAAAAUGCACAGGCUGUGAACUCGAAGAGUAGGGCGGGACACGUGGUAUCCUGUCUGAAUAUGGGGGGACCAUCCUCCAAGGCUAAAUACUCCUGACUGACCGAUAGUGAACCAGUACCGUGAGGGAAAGGCGAAAAGAACCCCGGCGAGGGGAGUGAAAAAGAACCUGAAACCGUGUACGUACAAGCAGUGGGAGCACCUUCGGGUGUGACUGCGUACCUUUUGUAUAAUGGGUCAGCGACUUAUAUUCUGUAGCAAGGUUAACCGUAUAGGGGAGCCGCAGGGAAACCGAGUCUUAACUGGGCGUUAAGUUGCAGGGUAUAGACCCGAAACCCGGUGAUCUAGCCAUGGGCAGGUUGAAGGUUGGGUAACACUAACUGGAGGACCGAACCGACUAAUGUUGAAAAAUUAGCGGAUGACUUGUGGCUGGGGGUGAAAGGCCAAUCAAACCGGGAGAUAGCUGGUUCUCCCCGAAAGCUAUUUAGGUAGCGCCUCGUGAAUUCAUCUUCGGGGGUAGAGCACUGUUUCGGCUAGGGGGUCAUCCCGACUUACCAACCCGAUGCAAACUACGAAUACCGAAGAAUGUUAUCACGGGAGACACACGGCGGGUGCUAACGUCCGUCGUGAAGAGGGAAACAACCCAGACCGCCAGCUAAGGUCCCAAAGUCAUGGUUAAGUGGGAAACGAUGUGGGAAGGCACAGACAGCCAGGAUGUUGGCUUAGAAGCAGCCAUCAUUUAAAGAAAGCGUAAUAGCUCACUGGUCGAGUCGGCCUGCGCGGAAGAUGUAACGGGGCUAAACCAUGCACCGAAGCUGCGGCAGCGACACUAUGUGUUGUUGGGUAGGGGAGCGUUCUGUAAGCCUGCGAAGGUGACCUGUGAGGGUUGCUGGAGGUAUCAGAAGUGCGAAUGCUGACAUAAGUAACGAUAAAGCGGGUGAAAAGCCCGCUCGCCGGAAGACCAAGGGUUCCUGUCCAACGUUAAUCGGGGCAGGGUGAGUCGACCCCUAAGGCGAGGCCGAAAGGCGUAGUCGAUGGGAAACAGGUUAAUAUUCCUGUACUUGGUGUUACUGCGAAGGGGGGACGGAGAAGGCUAUGUUAGCCGGGCGACGGUUGUCCCGGUUUAAGCAUGUAGGCUGGUUAUCCAGGCAAAUCCGGAUAAUCAAGGCUGAGGUGUGAUGACGAGGCACUACGGUGCUGAAGUAACAAAUGCCCUGCUUCCAGGAAAAGCCUCUAAGCAUCAGGUAACAUCAAAUCGUACCCCAAACCGACACAGGUGGUCAGGUAGAGAAUACCAAGGCGCUUGAGAGAACUCGGGUGAAGGAACUAGGCAAAAUGGUGCCGUAACUUCGGGAGAAGGCACGCUGGUGUGUAGGUGAAGUCCCUGCGGAUGGAGCUGAGACCAGUCGAAGAUACCAGCUGGCUGCAACUGUUUAUUAAAAACACAGCACUGUGCAAACACGAAAGUGGACGUAUACGGUGUGACGCCUGCCCGGUGCCGGAAGGUUAAUUGAUGGGGUUAUCCGUAAGGAGAAGCUCUUGAUCGAAGCCCCGGUAAACGGCGGCCGUAACUAUAACGGUCCUAAGGUAGCGAAAUUCCUUGUCGGGUAAGUUCCGACCUGCACGAAUGGCGUAAUGAUGGCCAGGCUGUCUCCACCCGAGACUCAGUGAAAUUGAACUCGCUGUGAAGAUGCAGUGUACCCGCGGCAAGACGGAAAGACCCCGUGAACCUUUACUAUAGCUUGACACUGAACAUUGAGCCUUGAUGUGUAGGAUAGGUGGGAGGCUUUGAAGCGUGGACGCCAGUCUGCGUGGAGCCAACCUUGAAAUACCACCCUUUAAUGUUUGAUGUUCUAACGUUGGCCCCUUACCGGGGUUGCGGACAGUGUCUGGUGGGUAGUUUGACUGGGGCGGUCUCCUCCCAAAGCGUAACGGAGGAGCACGAAGGUUAGCUAAUCCUGGUCGGACAUCAGGAGGUUAGUGCAAUGGCAUAAGCUAGCUUGACUGCGAGCGUGACGGCGCGAGCAGGUGCGAAAGCAGGUCAUAGUGAUCCGGUGGUUCUGAAUGGAAGGGCCAUCGCUCAACGGAUAAAAGGUACUCCGGGGAUAACAGGCUGAUACCGCCCAAGAGUUCAUAUCGACGGCGGUGUUUGGCACCUCGAUGUCGGCUCAUCACAUCCUGGGGCUGAAGUAGGUCCCAAGGGUAUGGCUGUUCGCCAUUUAAAGUGGUACGCGAGCUGGGUUUAGAACGUCGUGAGACAGUUCGGUCCCUAUCUGCCGUGGGCGCUGGAGAAUUGAGGGGGGCUGCUCCUAGUACGAGAGGACCGGAGUGGACGCAUCACUGGUGUUCGGGUUGUCAUGCCAAUGGCACUGCCCGGUAGCUAAAUGCGGAAGAGAUAAGUGCUGAAAGCAUCUAAGCACGAAACUUGCCCCGAGAUGAGUUCUCCCUGAGACUUUAAGUCUCCUGAAGGAACGUUGAAGACGACGACGUUGAUAGGCCGGGUGUGUAAGCGCAGCGAUGCGUUGAGCUAACCGGUACUAAUGAACCGUGAGGCUUAACCUU
rnacentral:rRNA from 1 species